AGAGUGAACGCUGGCGGCAGGCCUAACACAUGCAAGUCGAGCGGCAGCGCAGCAGUAGCAAUACUGUGGGCGGCGAGCGGCGGACGGGUGAGGAACACAUCGGAAUCUACCCUGUCGUGGGGGACAACGUAGGGAAACUUACGCUAAUACCGCAUACGACCUUCGGGUGAAAGUGGGGGACUCGCAAGAGCCUCACGCGAUUGGAUGAGCCGAUGUCCGAUUAGCUAGUUGGCGGGGUAAUGGCCCACCAAGGCGACGAUCGGUAGCUGGUCUGAGAGGACGACCAGCCACACUGGAACUGAGACACGGUCCAGACUCCUACGGGAGGCAGCAGUGGGGAAUAUUGGACAAUGGGGGCAACCCUGAUCCAGCCAUGCCGCGUGGGUGAAGAAGGCCUUCGGGUUGUAAAGCUCUUUUGUCGAGGGACGAUAAUGACGGUACCUGAAGAAUAAGCCCGGCAACUCGUGCCAGCAGCCGCGGU
rnacentral:rRNA from 1 species